rnacentral:rRNA from 1 species
CCUACGGGUGGCUGCAGUAGGGAAUUUUCCUCAAUGAGCGCAAGCCUGAACGAGCAACGCCGCGUGAACGAUGAAGGUCUUCGGAUCGUAAAGUGCUGUUGUAGGGGAAGAACAUCGGAGAUAGGAAAUGCUUUCUGACUGAUAUUACCUUGCCAGAAAGCGAUGGCUAACUACGUGCCAGCAGCCGCGGUAAUACAUAGGUGGCAAGCGUUAUCCGGAAUGAUUGGGCGUAAAGGGUGCGUAGGCCGCCUGCUAAGUCUGGAGUGAAAUGUAGGGGCUCAACCCCGACAGGCUUUGGAUACUGGCAGGCUAGAGAGAGGGAGAGGGAGGUGGAAUUCCAUGUGUAGCGGUAAAAUGCGUAGAUAUAUGGAAGAACACCAAUGGCGAAGGCGGCCGACUGG